UCCCUGGUGGUCCAGUGGUUAGGACUCUGCAUUCUCACUGCCGGGGCCCCAGGUUCGAUUCCUGUUUGGGGAA